UACAGAGGUGGCAAGCGUUGUUCGGAAUUACUGGACGUAAAGGGCGCGUAGGCGGUCCUGUAAGUCUUGUGUGAAAUCCCUCGGCUCAACUGAGGAACUGCACGGGAUACUGCGAGACUUGAGUUCGGGAGAGGGAAGCGGAAUUCCGGGUGUAGCGGUGAAAUGCGUAGAUAUCCGGAGGAACACCGGUGGCGAAGGCGGCUUCCUGGACCGAUCACUGACGCUGAGGAGCGAAAGCGUGGGUAGCAAACAGG
rnacentral:rRNA from 1 species